rnacentral:rRNA from 1 species
AUAACAAUAUGGACCUCUCUAACGAUGGUCCAUAAUUGGAAUGAGUUGAGUAUAAAUCCUUCAACAAGGAUCAAGUGGAGGGCAAGUCUGGUGCCAGCAGCCGCGGUAAUUCCAGCUCCAC